ACGUAGGGGGCAAGCGUUGUCCGGAAUCAUUGGGCGUAAAGAGCGCGUAGGCGGUCCGGUAAGUCGGUUGUGAAAACUGGGGGCUCAACCCUCAGAGGCCGACCGAUACUGUCGGGCUAGAGUCCGGAAGAGGCGAGUGGAAUUCCUGGUGUAGCGGUGAAAUGCGCAGAUAUCAGGAGGAAUACCGAUGGCGAAGGCAGGUCUCUGGGCUGACACUGACGCUCAUGCACGAAAGCGUGGGGAGCAAACAGGA
rnacentral:rRNA from 1 species